CGUGUAGGCGGAGAUGCAAGUCAGAUGUGAAAUCCUCGGGCUUAACCCGGGAACUGCAUUUGAAACUGUAUCCCUUGAGUAUCGGAGAGGCAGGCGGAAUUCCUAGUGUAGCGGUGAAAUGCGUAGAUAUUAGGAGGAACACCAGUUGCGAAGGCGGCUCUCUGGACUGUAACUGACACUGAGGCACGAAAGCUGGGGGAGCAAACA
rnacentral:rRNA from 1 species